ACUUUCUCAUACCAUCACUAAAAACAACCAUCACUUCACUCUUCUUUCUGUUUUGUGGGGUUAAAGCCUUUCACUACUUCUUUCUUCUUGAAAAAAAAGAAGGAAAAAAAAAAAGCCUUUCCAAGUUUUUUUCCUCUUGUUUAUCCCCACAGCUCAAGAAUAUUUAUUAUCUCUAAUUAAGAGAAUUCCAAUAAUUAUUUUAUCUUAAGAUGGAAUCAUCUUGGACACCAAGGCAAAACAAAAUAUUUGAACAUGCCCUAGCUAUAUAUGAUAGGGAAACACCGGAUAGGUGGCAGAAUAUUGCGAAAAUGGUGGGAAAAUCUAUAGAGGAGGUUAAGAUGCACUACGAGAUCCUCAAAGAAGAUAUCAAGCGCAUUGAGCAAGAUCAAGUGCCAUUUCCUUAUGCAGGCUCAUGAUACUUAUAUAUCCAGAACCCCAAAUUAGCAGACUAUAAAGAGCAUACCCAAGGAUAAAUGAAUUACCAGAAGUGAAGCUACAAAUUAAAGGAGUCUGAUUUCUUUGUAAAUUAAUUAUUAAUUAUGAAUCAAAAUCUUCUACGUUGGGCUGUAAAAAAAUAAUGUAAUUAAUGUAUGUGAAACAAUAUUUAUUCAUGUAAUAAAUACUAAUGACUAGUUGGCUAUCUGUCAAA